rnacentral:rRNA from 1 species
CGCGUGGGAAUCUACCUAGUUCUACGGAACAACACAGGGAAACUUGUGCUAAUACCGUAUACGCCCUACGAGGGAAAGAUUUAUCGGAAUUAGAUGAGCCCGCGUAAGAUUAGCUAGUUGGUGGGGUAAUGGCCUACCAAGGCGACGAUCUUUAGCUGGUCUGAGAGGAUGAUCAGCCACACUGGGACUGAGACACGGCCCAGACUCCUACGGGAGGCAGCAGUGGGGAAUAUUGGACAAUGGGCGCAAGCCUGAUCCAGCCAUGCCGCGUGAGUGAUGAAGGCCUUAGGGUUGUAAAGCUCUUUCAGUGGGGACGAUAAUGACGGUACCCACAGAAGAAGCCCCGGCUAACUUCGUG